UCAAUUAUAUAGAUACUGAAUUAUUUUAAUUUUAUUUAAAUUGUACAAUUAAAAAUACUUUAAUAGGUACCUAUCUAUAUAUUUUUUUUUAAUAAUUAUGGUAUAUUUUUAAAAACAAUAAAACUGAAGAAACCUAAUUUGAAACACCUAGACAGAACAGGUUCAUUCUCAAGAAAUGAAUUCUAUUCAAAAAGCCGACUCACCUGGUAUAGGGUGCCGACACCUGCAGAGCUUGUUGCUGUUCCUGUGCGUGGUUAGCGGGUACCUGAUCCGGGUGAACCUGUCCGUCACUAUCGUGGCCAUGAAUCCCGUGAUCAACUCGACGGACUACUUGCGGGAGCUGGCCGACCACGUGCCGAUAUUCGGGUGGACCAACUCGACGCGGUCGGUGUUGCUGAGCACGUUUUUCGUCGGCUACCUGUUGUCCAACUUCCCGGCGUCCGUGCUCGGGUGCCGGUUCAACAACAAGACGCUGUUGGCGUGCAGCAUGACCGUCUCGUCGGUGCUGUCCAUCGUCAGCCCACAGUUGGUGUACAUGUACGGCGCCUCCGCACUGGUGGCCGUCCGGUUCGCGCAGGGCCUGUCGUCGGCGUUCAUGUUCCCCAUGGUGCACGGCAUCAUGUCCAAGUGGGCGCCGCCGCACGAGCGAGGCCAGCUAGUCGGGUUCAUCGCCAGCGGCAUACAGUUGGGCACCAUGAUCACGCUGGCCGUUUCCGGCGCGCUGUGCGGCAGCUCGCUGGGCUGGCCGUCCGUCUACUACCUGAGCGGCGCCAUCGGGCUGGCGUGGACGGUUGUCUGGCUGCUGUUGGGCGCCGGCUCGUUGUCCACGCACCGAUUCAUCAGUCAGGCCGAGAAAGAUUACAUCCAAGCGUCGCUCGCCAACACCGUCGAUCACGAAAUAAAGUUGUCAGAUACUCCGUGGAAAUCCAUAUUCACGUCGUUACCGGUGUGGGCCACCACCAUAGCGCACAUUGGCCAUAACUGGGGAUUUUGGCUGUUGUUGACUGAGAUGCCUACGUUCAUUCAUACGGUGCUCAAAUUCGAUAUUAAGGAUGACGGUAUGCUGUCUUCAUUGCCAUAUCUCGCCAUGUUCGUGCUCCAAAUCCCAGUUACCAUCAUAGCCGACUUUCUGAAUAAGCGCAAAAUCACCACCCUCACAACGUCUAGAAAAUUCUGGAACACAAUAUCCAUGUGGGGUGGCACCGUUGGCUUAAUCAUACUAGGUUACAUCGAAGACACCCACUUGACGAUCAUCAUUUACGUGUUCAUCGUAGCCAUAGGGUGUUCAUCGAACGCUGGAUUCAACAUAAAUCACAUGGAUCUGUCACCCAACUACGCUGGGCUCCUAAUGGGAAUCACCAAUACAGCCGCAGCUUCUGGAGGAAUUAUUGCUCCUCUGUUCGUCGGUCUCGUUGUUGACGAUCAGACUUCAGUUUCGGAAUGGCGAAUCGUGUUCAUCAGUGGUGCAAUAGUGCUGUUUGUAUGCAAUUUGUUUUUUAUUAUAUUUGGCUCGGCAAAAACUCAGCCUUGGAAUUCAGUACACAAAAACGGUAUACAUCCUAGUCAUCGUACGCAUCAAUGACCAAUGUAUUAUGUAAAAAUAAAUUAAGAACGAACAGGCAUAAAAAAAACUAUUGUUUAAUUCUCUAAAAAUGGAUAAUACUAAACAAGAUAUUGAAAUUGCUGGAUAACAUUACAUGCAUAUCAUAUGCAAUGCACCCAAAGCCACAUAUUUAUCGAUUAUUAUAUAUACUGUCUAACUGUCUAUACGUAAUUAUAAUUAUGAUCAUGUCAUCACAAUGUUGCCUACUUACUAUUAUGAUUUAUAAAAUUUAAAUUACCACAAUAUAAUUGUAAAUUUAUUGUUUAAAACUAUCAUUUUAUUUUAUUUUGGCCCAUAAUUUAGAGUUAAAAAUGUUUAAUAAAUACCAAAUAAUUGUUAUUUCCUACAAUCAAUGUCCGAGUAAAUUAUAUUUUAAACUUUAUCUUGUAUGUUGUAUUAUAGAUGGCCAGUGAGUACUUACCUAUUUUUACUUUUAGUUUAAAUCAUACAGUUACAUAUAAUUGUGGAACGAAAUGCUAUUUAAGGAAUAAAUGUAAACAACUAGACAAAUAAUGUCGAAAAACAUACAA